CCCAGACUCACCAGCUGGAUGGAGCAGCUCACACCCGCUCUUAAGCCGCUUAGACGCGGCUCUCAGCACCCAGGAGCUGCACAGCUGGCCCUGCGGUUAUGUCCACAGGAGCCGGGCCAGGAGGUCAGAGCUAGAAUUCUCCACUGUCUGUACAGCAGUCUGUUCGUACCACAGAGCCCCCUUGUUAAAGAGUUUCUUUGGACAUUGAUCAGCCCACACCUUUUCCAAACUUUCCACCCUACGUCCAUCCUGAGGCCAUGGGCGCCCAAUCAAAUUCCUCUUCCCAGAACAGCUACUGAGCUAAACAUCUCAUUGGUUUCUGCCUCCACCAAUGACAUGUGACCGCUCCAUGGGGCAGGUGGGCGCAGCAGUGGGCUCCGUGGUGCCCCC
rnacentral:lncRNA from 1 species